rnacentral:rRNA from 1 species
AUGUGGAAGCGACGUCGCUCAACGGAUAAAAGGUACCUCGGGGAUAACAGGCUGAUCUUCCCCAAGAGUCCAUAUCGACGGGAUGGUUUGGCACCUCGAUGUCGGCUCGUCGCAUCCUGGGGCUGGAGUAGGUCCCAAGGGUUGGGCUGUUCGCCCAUUAAAGCGGUACGCGAGCUGGGUUCAGAACGUCGUGAGACAGUUCGGUCCCUAUCUGCCGUGG